rnacentral:rRNA from 1 species
AACGAACGCUGGCGGCAUGCCUAACACAUGCAAGUCGAACGAGACCUUCGGGUCUAGUGGCGCACGGGUGCGUAACGCGUGGGAACCUGCCCUUAGGUUCGGAAUAACUCCCCGAAAGGGGUGCUAAUACCGGAUAAUGUCUUCGGACCAAAGAUUUAUCGCGUUUGGAUGGGCCCGCGUGGGAUUAGCUAGUUGGUAGGGUAAAAGCCUACCACGGCGACGAUCCAUAGCUGGUCUGAGAGGAUGAUCAGCCACACUGGGACGGAGACACGGCCCAGACUCCUACGGGAGGGAGCAGUGGGGAAUAUUGGACAAUGGGCGAAAGCCUGAUCCAGCAAUGCCGCGUGAGUGAUGAAGGCCUUAGGGUUGUAAAGCUCUUUUACCCGGGAUGAUAAUGACAGUACCGGGAGAAUAAGCUCCGGCUAACUCCGUG